rnacentral:rRNA from 1 species
UGGGGAAUUUUGGACAAUGGGCGAAAGCCUGAUCCAGCAAUGCCGCGUGUGUGAAGAAGGCCUUCGGGUUGUAAAGCACUUUUGUCCGGAAAGAAAUCCUCUGGGUUAAUACCUCGGGGGGAUGACGGUACCGGAAGAAUAAGCACCGGCUAACUACGUGCCAGCAGCCGCGGUAAUACGUAGGGUGCAAGCGUUAAUCGGAAUUACUGGGCGUAAAGCGUGCGCAGGCGGUUUUGUAAGACGGAUGUGAAAUCCCCGGGCUUAACCUGGGAACUGCAUUCGUGACUGCAAGGCUAGAGUAUGGCAGAGGGGGGUAGAAUUCCACGUGUAGCAGUGAAAUGCGUAGAGAUGUGGAGGAAUACCGAUGGCGAAGGCAGCCCCCUGGGCCAAUACUGACGCUCAUGCACGAAAGCGUGGGGAGCAAACAGGAUUAGAUACCCUAGUAGUCCACGCCCUAAACGAUGUCAACUAGUUGUUGGGGAUUCAUUUCCUUAGUAACGUAGCUAACGCGUGAAGUUGACCGCCUGGGGAGUACGGUCGCAAGAUUAAAACUCAAAUGAAUUGACGGGGUCAUAGCUGUUUCCU